CAGAGCAAGACCGUGACCGCGGCGGGCCAGUACUCGCCAGGGAUGACCAUGAGCGUGUGAUGGGGCGGCAGCCCCGGGCCUCUGCGGGCCUAGGCUUCUGCCCAGCACCCCUGCUCAGGGCGAGGGGCUGAGGUCACACCUCGGGCACCUGGACUCCUGGCCAAUCAAGGCUUGCCCGGCUGGGAGGCCCCACACGAAAGACUUAUCAUUUUAUUAAAAACGCAAGGACCUCAGAGACGUUCUUUUCUGUAUGGACCCUUCCUGCCAUUUGUAUUUUGUCCCAGAGGGCUCUUUGGGGGGCCCCUCUCCCCAGGACGUCAGGGGGUGGGGCCCAUCAAUAAAUGGAAGCUGGUUUUGGUUUUUGGUA